CAUUCCUAUGCUUCCCCUGCACAACCCCAGAAAUGAUUCUCAUAAAGUGUGUUAUAAUCCCCACCGCAGACAGGCCUUUUGGAGGGAGUCAAGCUGCUGUGGGGCAGCAUGUUACAGAUGAGUUCAUGAGAAACACCCAUGCAUGUGCGCUGAGCACACCGUGUCUCUUCAUGCUAUUACACGCUCGUAUUAGAGGCUCGCCGUUCACAAGGGCUCAAGAGAUCCUCCCACCUCAGCCUCCUUAGUAGCUGGGACAGAAGGCGUAUACCACCAUGUCUGGCUAAUUUUUAAAAUUUUUUGUAAAGAUGGGAAUUUCACUGUGUUGCCAAGG
rnacentral:lncRNA from 1 species